UGUAUUUCACAGGCAGAGGACCUGCUGAAUACAACAUAUACAUACAGAACACCCUGAAUUGUCCUCUUCAUCACUCGUACAGAAAAACUGCCAAGAGUGUGCUGACUUGGUUAGCUCCUGGAGAAGACUUCCAUGGUGGGCAGGACUUGUCCCUAAAGCAAAAGGAAACUGGGAGAGCUUGGGUCUCCAAUUGCUGCUAUAAAGAAGAGAACUUUGAUCCUUCUCCUUGGCUGGACUUCAGAACAGCAUUGCACAAUCACUUCUGAUGGUUCAUGAACUCUGUGCAGGAUCAGCAAUUGAGUUUGUACAGUUGCUCUGCAGAGCACACCUUCUCAUCCUGACUGUGGUACCCCUGUGCUGUGGCACCUGUUGCACAGUGCAUUUCUGCCUGCUUGAAGGAUGUACACUACCCCCAGGUUCUGGAGAUAUCAGAGAAGAACCUUUGGGUUGAGCAUUCAGAGAAGAUGGAAGAAAGAAACAAAGAGGU